CGCUGGCGGCAUGCCUAACACAUGCAAGUCGAACGGAGAAUGUCAAAUGAAGUUUCGGAUGGAUUUUGAUAUUCUUAGUGGCGGACGGGUGAGUAACGCGUGAGCAACCUGCCUUUCAGUGGGGGACAACAGUUGGAAACGACUGCUAAUACCGCAUAAUGUAUACGGAUCGCAUGGUCUGUAUACCAAAGAUUUUAUCGCUGAAAGAUGGGCUCGCGUAUGAUUAGAUAGUUGGUGAGGUAACGGCUCACCAAGUCGACGAUCAUUAGCCGGACUGAGAGGUUGAACGGCCACAUUGGGACUGAGACACGGCCCAGACUCCUACGGGAGGCAGCAGUGAGGAAUAUUGGGCAAUGGGCGCAAGCCUGACCCAGCAAUGCCGCGUGAAGGAUGAAGGUUUUCGGAUUGUAAACUUCUUUGCCAAGGACGAUAAUGACGGUACUUGACGAAUAAGCCACGGCUAACUACGUG
rnacentral:rRNA from 1 species